GGUGGGGGGUGGGCAAUAGCAAGGUACGUGUCCAAAACAAAAUCUACACACACCUCGCUGGGCCCUGGGUAACCCUCAAAAACACUCUCGAUCGUAAAAAAUUGCGAACACACAGCAAGCCAAAAGAAUGGUGGAAGGAGCCCCCGCGUGCGCGAUCACUGUCGACAACCAGUAAGUCCCUUAAGGCACACAGACUGGAAGGAGGCGCCCCACCCUCCCGGGGUCGCUGCCCCGCGUCCAGCCUUCCCAGCAGCCAGUGACUCUAGUGAGGCAGCUUUUAGCAUUUGCGAGAAGCAGCACCGCCAGCUGCCAAAUUCCUGCUGGGUCGGCCAAGAGGUUUCCUUAGGGACAAGCACCUCUCUCCAGGCCCCUGCUUCUCCCAAGAGCUUGGAGGACAUGCAGAGGCCCGUGUCCACUGGAGGACUCACAAAGACACCAGGGGUGACAGUACAUCCUAACCUGUGCAUCAGUUUUACUUUGUGAAGCAAAAAGGCUGAAAAUGCAAGGAUGGUUUAACAUCGUAUCAAUGGAACGCAUCACGAGGGCAAAAUGAGAAAAUCACCUGAUUGUCUCAGUAGAUGCAGUAAAGACUUCCCACAGAACCCACCAGCCGGACCGGGGCCACUCACAAGGAUGGAAGCAAAACUACUUUAAGGUCAUCAUCCCCUUCGGCUCUUUUUCUGGAGGACAAGCGUGGAUCCAUACUCAUGAGCCGUAACCUCCGGAAGGAAGAAUUCAAGAAUGGGGGGAAGUAAUGAAGCAUCUACAGAAAAGAUCAUCGGACCUAAAUCAGCAAAUGCAUUAUGUAAAAGUGACUUAUGAUCACAAUCUCCCUUAACGCUGUCCCUACACGGCAAUGCCAUCCAAAGACAGUAUUCUGUGCUAUGUCUAAAAUCUUCCGAUUCAGCUUUAAAACAAAUCUUUAGCAACAGAACAGAGUGAUGUCAGAAAACAGUAUUGGUUCCAUGUCCACACUUUCAGUAGCAUGUAAGUCCAACAUUUCAUAAACAUUAUUAUAAUUAUUUUUCCCUAGGUUUGCCUCAUAUUUUUGUUUUUAUAAACGGGAACAGGUGUAGGGAGGAAGACUAAUAAUCCGCAUUGGUAUGUAUCGUUUGAGAAGUUUCCUAUAUAAAAAGCUCUCUUUUCAUACCUUUGCAAAAAUGUCAAGAAUUUCCCAUUUGAACAUAUUAAAUGAGGGAGUAAAUGCACUGGCACUCAUUUCCGAUGUGUACUUCAUCAGUUCAGUUUCUUGAAGCUCAACAGAGUCAGAGGCUGUGCAGCACACGAAUGGAUGAGAAGGCUAAGGAAAAGCUGAGAACACAGAAGGCAAAAGUAGAUAUCCUGACCGGGCGCAGCAUACCUGAGGUCUAAUCCUAUCCUGCUGCCUGCAUUCCUAAUUUUGUGCAUUCAAUUUUGUGCAUUCACACUAUUUCUGGGGCACUUACUACGUAACGGUAUCCAGAGAGCAGGAAAUGUAGCAGUAGACAAAGCAGGCCUGCAUUCUGGCAGGA